UACGUUGGGGCCGAGCGUUGUCCGGAGUUACUGGGCGUAAAGCGUGCGCAGGCGGCCUGUCGCGCCCGGCGUGAAAGCCCACGGCUUAACCGUGGAGGGUCAUUGGAAACUGGUCGACUUGAGUGCAGAAGAGGGAAGUGGAAUUCCAUGUGUAGCGGUGAAAUGCGUAGAGAUAUGGAGGAACACCAGUGGCGAAGGCGGCUUCCUGGUCUGUAACUGACACUGAGGCGCGAAAGCGUGGGGAGCAAACAGGAUUAGAUACCCUCGUAGU
rnacentral:rRNA from 1 species